rnacentral:rRNA from 1 species
AGUGAACGCUGGCGGUAGGCCUAACACAUGCAAGUCGAACGGCAGCACAGUAAGAGCUUGCUCUUACGGGUGGCGAGUGGCGGACGGGUGAGGAAUACAUCGGAAUCUACUUUUUCGUGGGGGAUAACGUAGGGAAACUUACGCUAAUACCGCAUACGACCUACGGGUGAAAGCAGGGGAUCUUCGGACCUUGCGCGAUUGAAUGAGCCGAUGUCGGAUUAGCUAGUUGGCGGGGUAAAGGCCCACCAAGGCGACGAUCCGUAGCUGGUCUGAGAGGAUGAUCAGCCACACUGGAACUGAGACACGGUCCAGACUCCUACGGGAGGCAGCAGUGGGGAAUAUGGGACAGUGGGCGCAAGCCUGAUCCAGCCAUACCGCGUGGGUGAAGAAGGCCUGCGGGUUGUAAAGCCCUUUUGUUGGGAAAGAAAAGCAGCAGGUUAAGACCCCGCUGUUCUGACGGUACCCAAAGAAGAAGCACCUGCUAACGUC